rnacentral:tRNA from 1 species
GCCGGCGUAGCUCAGCGGUAGAGCAGUUGAUUCGUAAUCAACUGGUCACCCGUUCAAAUCGGGUCGCCGGCU